UUAUUUUCACACAACACAUUUACACAUAUACAAUACACCAUAUAAAAAAGUAUUUUAACAAUUCGGUGAAUAGUUAAACGCAUUUCAUUAUUAUACACGCUUGAAAAUUAACACUGCGAUGACAAGGUUUAAAAGUUUUUACAUAGCGGUGAAAAAUACUAAUUUUCUCAAAAAUUAAUAUACAUAGUCAAUCAACCCAACAAUUUUAAUAUACUAUUUUUGCAUAUUACAAUAAAUAUGAAGAAAAUAAUAAAAGAAAAAUUGUCACCGUUUAUGAUUUACACAUUGACUGUGUUGAUUUUUUUCAACGUGUUCUUUGCACUAAGCUGACAGAAAUAGAAAAAUAAAACCCGUCACGAUUUUGCCAGUUGUAUUCUGUUUUAAUUUUAAAAAGAGAACUCAUUCGGAUCUUGUGCCGGAUUUGGAACUGCAGAUUUGCGAGUCGGCUGCUUCUGCGAGAUCCUCCGAAAAAAAAAUCGCCUGCCACACAAUACCAAGGAACAGCAACGCAAAAAGCCGGCAGCCAAUACGAGAAAGGAAGAUGAGGUAAUCUGGAUCGAGGAUGGAAACAUGUAACUCGUUCGCUUUCGGACUACUAGCAGCAAUAUUGAUCUGGAAGAAUGGAUCCCAGAGGUCCCGGAGCUACAACUGCUUCUCUCUUUACAAAGAUUUUCGAGUCGGCUGCUUCUGCGAGAUCCUCCGAAAAUAUUGCCGUCUUUGCCACACAGCAUCAAGGAACAGCAACGCAAAACGCCGGCAGCCAAUACGAGAAAGGAAGAUGAGGUAAUCUAGAUCGAGGAUGGAAACAUGUAACACGUUCGCUUUCGGACUACUAGCAGCAAUAUUGAUCUGGAAGAAUGGAUCCCAGAGGUCCCGGAGCUACAACUGCUUCUCUCUUUACAAAGAUUUUCGAGUCGGCUGCUUCUGCGAGAUCCUCCGAAAAUAUUGCCGUCUUUGCCACACAGCAUCAAGGAACAGCAACGCAAAACGCCGGCAGCCAAUACGAGAAAGGAAGAUGAGGUCAUCUGGAUCAAGGAUGGAAACAUGGAACUAGUUCUAUUUAGGACUACUAGCAAUAUUGAUCUGGAAGAAUGAAAGUUUGAAACCCUACAAUAGACAUACGUGAAAAAGUGUAUAGAAGAGUGUAGCGAAAAAGACGAGGCUUAACUGAUCAUUAAUAAUACUAAAUAAUGAAAAUUGAACAACUUUUUUUUUCAAAUGUUAUCUCAUUUCAAACUAAAACAAUAUUUGUAGUUUAUUUGUGCAUUUCAUUGACUGCGUUACAAUUGUUUUAAUAAAAGUGAGUUUUUCAACAUGUA